rnacentral:miRNA from 1 species
UUAGCCGCACGCAGCCUCUCCCGGGCAAGGGGAACCUUCAUCCCCUGCCCGGGAGAGGCUGCGCGCGGCUAAGG